UUCGACACAGCAUAAAAGGAAAACAGGUAGUCCUGUACUGUCCCAGCAACCGUGAUACGGACGAACAGACAUAAAACCACUGUUUCUAAGGAAAUGGGAAGGAGUCUCAGUAGGAUGAUGUUAAGUCGGUAGACCUACCGUUGUAUUUG
rnacentral:ncRNA from 1 species